CCAACGGCCCUCUUUAGGGCCACCACUUGUGAUUGUUGCAGUUGCU
rfam:Mesocestoides corti genome assembly, scaffold: MCOS_contig0002666